rnacentral:rRNA from 1 species
GACAGAGGAUGCAAGCGUUAUCCGGAAUGAUUGGGCGUAAAAGCGUCUGUAGGUGGCUUUUCAAGUCCGCCGUCAAAUCCCAGGGCUCAACCCUGGACAGGCGGUGGAAACUACCAAGCUGGGGUACGGUAGGGGCAGAGGGAAUUUCCGGUGGAGCGGUGAAAUGCAUUGAGAUCGGAAAGAACACCAACGGCGAAAGCAC